GACGAACGCUGGCGGCGUGCUUAACACAUGCAAGUCGAAUGGUGAGGCCCUUCGGGGUACACGAGUGGCGAACGGGUGAGUAACACGUGGGUGAUCUGCCCUGCACUUCGGGAGAAGCCUGGGAAACUGGGUCUAAUACCGGAUAGGACUCCGGACUGCAUGGUCUGGGGUGGAAAGCUUUUGCGGUGUGGGAUGGGCCCGCGGCCUAUCAGCUUGUUGGUGGGGUGAUGGCCUACCAAGGCGACGACGGGUAGCCGGCCUGAGAGGGUGACCGGCCACACUGGGACUGAGAUACGGCCCAGACUCCUACGGGAGGCAGCAGUGGGGAAUAUUGCACAAUGGGCGCAAGCCUGAUGCAGCGACGCCGCGUGAGGGAUGACGGCCUUCGGGUUGUAAACCUCUUUCAGCAUCGACGAAGCGAAAGUGACGGUAGGUGCAGAAGAAGGACCGGCCAACUACGUGCCAGCAGCCGCGGUAA
rnacentral:rRNA from 1 species